rnacentral:misc_RNA from 1 species
GAUGAAGAACGUAGCGAAAUGCGAUACUUGGUGUGAAUUGCAGAAUCCCGUGAACCAUCGAGUCUUUGAACGCAAGUUGCGCCUCAAGCCAUUAGGUUGAGGGCACGUCUGCCUGGGCGUCACAUAUCGUUGCCUGAUGCCAGUUUCCUCGUGAUGGGUGACUGUGCAGGGCGAAUGAUGCCUUCCCGUGAGCAUUGUUGCCUCAUGGUUGGUUGAAAAUUGAGUCCUUGGUAGGGAGCGCCGUGAUAGAUGGUGGUUGAGUGACGAACGAGACCCAAUCAUGUGAGACCCCUACCGAAUUUGGCCUUCAUGACCCACAUGCGUCUUUGGAACGCUCAUGACGAGACCUCAGGUCAGGCGGGGCUACCCGCUGAGUUUAAGCAUAUCAAUAAGCGGAGGA